UAGGGAAUCUUCGGCAAUGGACGAAAGUCUGACCGAGCAACGCCGCGUGAGUGAAGAAGGUUUUCGGGAUCGUAAAACUCUGUUGUUAGAGAAGAACAAGGGUGAGAGUAACUGUUCACCCCUUGACGGUAUCUAACCAGAAAGCCACGGCUAACUACGUGC
rnacentral:rRNA from 1 species